rnacentral:lncRNA from 1 species
CCGUGAUAUAAUAUUUUGGCCAUAUCGCCAAGCCCUAACUAGCAGGUUGUGAUAGUGUGGCUGAUUGGCUGUAGCAGGCUGUGAGUGAUUCUAACCUGUUGCUCCUUCCUUCUCUCUGUUGGGUGCGGGAUCUGUCUCAAGGAGGGCUGUGAUUGGAGGAGGGCUCUGUCUCCCCGUCCUGGAGCCAAUCAGACCUUCAGGAUUCAGGAUCAGAGCAGGGAUUAGGAUUAAGGAUGGAGAGAGAACGCGGAGUGGGACAGGAGCAUAGGAUCGGGACCAGCCCCCAGGCCACAGCCCAGCCCACUGGAACCUAGAUACUAGACCUAAGUCACUCAAAUGGCUCUCAAACACCCAAAAUUAGUUUAUUUUUCCUCCGUGUGGACUCCACAGCGUCCUUCUAGGAUCCUGACCAGCGUUCUUUUAUUAUUUAAGUGGAGCUCAACGCAAAACCAGGAGUCUGGCUCAGGAUGGAGGGAGGCGCACAUAAGGAGAUUGCUCUGUGGAUUUUGAUGAGCAAAGAAAGGAUGCCUUGAGCUCGCUCAGCUGCAUUUCAAAGUCCUCAAUCCCCAUCCACUGAAACACAGACAGAUCCACGUCACUGUCCUCAAAGUUGUCUGGCUUGAUCAAAAAUUAAAACAUUGGGCCAUGUUGCUUGAAAUCUGACAGAGAAUUCUGACUUCAAUUCCCCCAUGUACACUCCGAUAACGUCAGCACUGACCGUGUGUGGAGUUGACAUCCCUUUGAGUUGCUUGAAGUAGCGGAACGUUACAUCUUGAAUAUCCUGCGAGUAGACAUUUUUUUAGCUUGGCAACGAAUGCCUUCCAUGCAUGUAACAGUUCCAGGACUGUUUCCCCUGCACCCUGAAGAUGCACGUUGAGGUGUCCUUUUAUGUCAGUGAGAAAUAUCAGUUUUAUAAGCCAACCCCAAGCUCUGGGUAAUUUUGGCCCUUUGGCAUCACGGUACCAUUUUAACUACAGUAGCAUCACGGUACCAUUUUAACUACAGUAGCAUCACGGUACAUUUUACACUACAGUCGCAACACCUGUACCAUUUAACUACACGUAGCAUCCUGGACC